rnacentral:rRNA from 1 species
GCUUUUAUAGUAUGAAAAUUGGUGAUUUAUAAUAACUUAGCAAAUCGCAAAGUGAAAACAGGCGAUAAAUCAUUCAAGUUUCUGACCUAUCAGCUUUCGACGGUAUGGUAUUGGCUUACCGUGGCAGUGACGGUUAACGGGGGAUUAGGGUUCGAUUCCGGAGAGGGAGCCUGAGAAACGGCUACCACAUCUAAGGAAGGCAGCAGGCGCGCAAAUUACCCAAUUCUAACAGUUUGAGAGAGGUAGUAACAAGAAAUAACAAUACAAGGCAGUUAAAAUGCUUUGUAAUUGGAAUGAUAGAAAUUUAAACCCUUUUUAAAGUAUCAAUUGGAGGGCAAGUCUGGUGCCAGCAGCCGCGGUAAUUCCAGCUCCAAUAGCGUAUAUUAAAAUUGUUGCAGUUAAAAAGCUCGUAGUUGAAGUUCUGCUGAAAGUAACCGGUCUGCUUUUAAUAAAAGUGGUAUCUUGGUAUGUAUUUAGCAAUGAUGUCCUUUGAAGUGUUUUUUACUUUAUUGUAAUAAAGCAUAUUCAGGACUUUUACUUUGAGAAAAUUAGAGUGUUUCUAGCAGGCUAACGCUUUGAAUACUGCAGCAUGGAAUAAUA